AUCUUCUUCUUCUCUCUUCUAAAGCAGAUCCCUCACCCCCAAGUUAAAAUCCACCUCAAAACCCAAAAAUCACUACAAAAAAGAGCAACAGAGAAAGAGAGUUGUGAGCAGCAAGAACAUUGUAGACCUCAGUCUCUACUCCAUUACUUUUCCAUUUCCAGAAGAAGCCUUUAUCAACAUCAGUCUCUCUCAUUCGCCGACAUCAACAGCACCCAGCAACAUCCCCAUCACUCAUAACUUGAUGAACCUCAUUCUGAAAACUACCAGCUUCAGUUCUAUCUCAAAAACCGAAAUCAGUCAGUAACAAUAGAGAAGUGAACAAUAAUUUGGUCUUCUAUGUGUGAAAGGUUAUGUGAAAUUUGGACAUAACAGAGAAGACAAUGCAGUAGUGCAUCAUGAAUGGGCCUCCGCAGCUCAGUGAGUUCAUUAGCUUUUGAACAACCAUUCGAUUAGCUUUGGAAAAGGUUGAAGAAGGCAGAGGACCUUGGUUUACAGUUAAACAGAGCCAUAGACCUCGGUGAGAAUAACAGUCAUAUACCAUAGGAUGAGAAAGGAAGAUUUACAAGCAGCAGCAGAUGGAAGGUCAGAAAAAUUGAAGAAGAGCUGUUAGUGGUAGUAGCAAAGAUCAUAUUGUCAGUAUUGGCGGGUGGGUUUCUGCUGGUGUUCUCACAUCUCUAUGAGCAACUGAUAUUGAGGCCUAAAGGGCUAAGAUCAAAGCUCCAAAAGCAAGAAAUUAGAGGGCGUCCUCCUUCAUUCCUCUUGGGGAAUAUCCUUGCAUAACGCCUUCAAAGCAAGGUCCACUCAACAGCAACAAAGACUACAGAUCCUUAAAAGCCUCAGCAUGAUGAUCGUCAUGUACCUUCUAUUUGUCACCAAUGACCUUCAAAAAUCUUCCCCCACGGAGUGAAGAAGUGAAUAUGAAAUGCAUAUGAGUUCAGAAAAGUAUUCCAGUACUGAAGUAGAUGUUGAGACCUUUCAGCUCUUGCUCAAGCAUGAAAAACUUUCCUGCAUCAGCCCAGAAACCUAUAAUCCGACUGCAUGAUUUUCUGAAUGGAGUUGGAGACAUUCGAGCACGGCACAAAAUUCUAUUGUAGAAUCACAAUCACCCUCAGUGCCCGCAACAAUGUAGCUGCUAGCAGCGGUGAAGAGUUCUUGGACCAAUUGAAGAAGUUGAGAAGGGAAACUUGAUGUAUAAGCUUGAAGUGUUCUUGAACUCUUGAAUACUUCAUGGCUGGUAGGAGGCAAUUGCCACUCUACAAAGCAUGAAGGUGACGACCUUUCAGGUCAAUACACAAAUGACCCUUGGGGUUGUACGAAAUGUUAACCGAACAUGUGAAAGAUCUGUUUGAAAAUAAGAACUUCACUUAAUUGAUUA